CUCCUACGGGAGGCAGCAGUAGGGAAUCUUCCGCAAUGGACGAAAGUCUGACGGAGCAACGCCGCGUGAGUGAAGAAGGUUUUCGGAUCGUAAAACUCUGUUGUUAGGGAAGAACAAGUGCCGUUCGAAUAGGGCGGCACCUUGACGGUACCUAACCAGAAAGCCACGGCUAACUACGUGCCAGCAGCCGCGGUAAUACGUAGGUGGCAAGCGUUGUCCGGAAUUAUUGGGCGUAAAGCGCGCGCAGGUGGUUUCUUAAGUCUGAUGUGAAAGCCCACGGCUCAACCGUGGAGGGUCAUUGGAAACUGGGGAACUUGAGUGCAGAAGAGGAAAGUGGAAUUCCAAGUGUAGCGGUGAAAUGCGUAGAUAUUUGGAGGAACACCAGUGGCGAAGGCGACUUUCUGGUCUGUAACUGACACUGAGGCGCGAAAGCGUGGGGAGCAAACAGGAUUAGAUACCCUGGUAGUCCACGCCGUAAACGAUGAGUGCUAAGUGUUAGAGGGUUUCCGCCCUUUAGUGCUGCASSUAACGCAUUAAGCACUCCGCCUGGGGAGUACGGUCGCAAGACUGAAACUCAAAGGAAUUGACGG
rnacentral:rRNA from 1 species